rnacentral:lncRNA from 1 species
UACUUAGACAGACUAUGAAGAGAUACAUAGGGUGAGAAACGGAGGCCUUCAGCCAACAGCUGGGAGAAGCUGAGUCCCAUCAGCCAUUCAAAAGACUGCAGCCCCAGCCAAGAGUUUGAUGUAACCUCAGGAGAGACCCUGAGCCAGAACCACCUAGGCCAACGAGCUAUACCUAGUGAUUCCAAAGUCCACAUAUAUUUACUCUGUUCUCACUGUACAAAGUAACCACUCUGAAGUCAAAAAAGCUGGGAUACAUGAAGACUGCCAUCCCUUGAGUCACUUGCCCUGUAGCUGCCACUGUUGGAAAAGGGCUUGCUUCUGUGUCCUUGUGCCCACUUUGAAAAUCCCUGGGAAGUCCUUGGAGUCAGAUGAGCAGGCCUCCGCCACUCUGCCAAAAAGUCUGUUCAGAAGUUUCACAUCACUAGAGAAGAGAGAAGAAGGACAUUUGUACUGGGAGGAGUCGACCGGUCCCAGUAAGGAGAAAGUAGCUACAGCGUCAUGGGUGAGCUGGGUCCCCCAAAAAGGAACUUUAAGGGAAUGGACUGAAUCAAGUCUGAGAUGUCCCCAAAGCAAGACCAAAGAACUGAGGAAGAGAAGCAUUCAUCAGAAACCAAAAUUCAGCUACAAGUGAGCAUCCAGAUGGAGGUAUUAUGAAGAGGAACUGAGACUGAGGGCAAAAGGUGCCAGCCAGAAUCCUGGAUAGGAGAGCAAGAACCAGGACCUCAUUUAAGAGACAACCUGCUUAAGGCAGAGUAAGCACAAAUGGGCACUCAACAUCAAUGAAGUAACAGCAAAGUCACAUAAUAAAAGCAUGGAAUUAAGACAAGCUGAAGAUUCGGAUGCAAUAAAACAACCACCCAUUAUUAUCUCA